rnacentral:rRNA from 1 species
UAGCGUUGUUCGGAAUCACUGGGCGUAAAGCGCACGUAGGCGGAUUGUUAAGUCAGGGGUGAAAUCCUGGAGCUCAACUCCAGAACUGCCUUUGAUACUGGCGAUCUCGAGUCCGGGAGAGGUGAGUGGAACUGCGAGUGUAGAGGUGAAAUUCGUAGAUAUUGGGAAGAACACCGGUGGCGAAGGCGGCGACCUGGUCCGAUACUGACGCUGAGGCGCGAAAGCGUGGGGAGCAAACAGG